AUUCCGAGGCUUUGCGUCCGUUUUAUGCGGCGCAAACUAUUUGCGAAUCUUUGUUUUAGCCGAAAUGUAAAGUUGAAGCUCUGGACAGAUCUCUCAGAAGGACAGAAGGACUUUGGAGAAAAGCUGGGACUCGGAUCUGCACUUGCUUUGAGAAAGUUUGCAAUAUGAAGGUGGCUAAUGGACAUCAACACCACAGGCGUGCAUCUACUGUGAGCCACAACACUGUUUCCAGGGAACGAGGGAAUGAUGAGACAAAGCAAUAGCGGGAAAGACAGACACAGGCCGAGACAGAGAGAGAGAGAAGAAGAAGAAGAAGAAGAAGGGGAACGAGAAGACACCCACGCACUUCUGUGGUGCAGGUCCAAUGAUCUCUCGCCACGUCUCAGACUUGACCCUGAUCCAGAGAUUGAAGGAAGUGCAAGUAUGUGAAGUACCAGCUCCAGGUUACAGCAUCAGGUCAUGCUUCAGACCAUUGACCCUUGAUCCCUGCGUCUGUUUAUAUCUUGUGAUUGAUUGAAUACAUAGUGAUGAGUCAUAUCCCCAAGUGUGUUUAUAUUACAGAGUCACGCAAGGAAGGAAAAGAGCUACGACCUGCUAAAAGCCAGUGGGAGACAGAAAGAGAGUGAGGUGCUAAAUUAAAAUUCAAUAUAUUUUUGCAUUCAAAGGAAAUAUGUCACCGAAUAUCUUCGGAUAUAUUUAUUCCUCCAAAUAAACGUCCUUCUCGUAUAUUUUCCUCUGUCUUCUUUUUGUUCAUGAAUUGUUCCUAUGUUCAUUUAAAAUGACAACAACAACAACAACAACAACAACAACAACAACAACAAAUCCAUCUCCUCGACACCAGAUGCAAGAAACCCAAAGUUCUCAAGCCCUUCAAAUUUAGCUCCUAAAUAUUACGCAGGACGUCAGUGCUAAACCUAAACCUAAACCGAGUAAGCCACAGCGGCCUGCGCCUGUGAUUAAAACGCAAUGUCCUGCCUGCGCUGGACGGUUAUUACUGCACAAGUGUUGAAUGAGAGCCUUAGUUAGCUUUACUAAAUAAACGUGUGCAGAUGUUCGACAGUUUACUUCAUGUUUGUUCCAUCUCCGUUUGAAGAUUAAGCGCAGGAGCUCAUUAGCGAACUGUGAACACAGCCUGACACCCUUCUCUGUAACUAACGUUCUGACACAAUGAAAGAGGCAGCAGCU